CAAUAAUAACCAGAUUACAGAAAUUCCACCAGAAUCUUUUUCUGAUUUAACAGCUUUAACGACCUUAUAUCUCAGUCACAAUAAGAUCAGAUUAAUUGUGCCAAAUUUAUUUUCUGUUAUGACUGCUCUACAAGCCUUAGACCUUAAAAAUAAUACUAUAACCGAGAUUGGACGCAAGGCCUUUAGUAGAAAUUUUAACUUCGAAAAUUUAGCAGUGACGCUCGACCAAACGUUCCAGUGUUGCGCCCGUUUAGAAUAUCGCGAUAAAGUUGAAGUUUCUGCUGAGAAUUGCUCCUACGCCGGCAAAUAUGAAAAAUACGAAGUUUUU